rnacentral:rRNA from 1 species
AGAGUUUGAUCAUGGCUCAGAAUCAACGCUGGCGGCGUGCCUAACACAUGCAAGUCGAACGAGAAAGUGGGGGCAACUCCAUGAGUAAAGUGGCAGACGGGUGAGUAACACGUGAACAACCUACCCUCGAGUGGGGAAUAACACCGCGAAAGCGGUGCUAAUACCGCAUAAUAUCUUCGGGUCGCAUGACCUGGAGAUCAAAAGCGCAAGCUGCUUGAGGAGGGGUUCGCGCCUGAUUAGCUAGUUGGUGAGGUAACGGCCCACCAAGGCUGCGAUCAGUAGCCGGCCUGAGAGGGCGAUCGGCCACACUGGAACUGCGACACGGUCCAGACUCCUACGGGAGGCAGCAGUGGGGAAUUUUGCGCAAUGGGCGAAAGCCUGACGCAGCAACGCCGCGUGGAGGAUGAAGGUCUUCGGAUCGUAAACUCCUGUCAGUGGGGACGAAUGCUUCGCAAGAAGUUUGACUGUACCCGCUGAGGAAGCCACGGCUAACUCCGUGCCAGCAGCCGCGGUAAUACGGAGGUGGCAAGCGUUGUUCGGAAUUACUGGGCGUAAAGGGCGCGUAGGCGGCUUGGCAAGUCAGGUGUGAAAGCCCCGAGCUUAACUCGGGAAUUGCAUCUGAAACUGCUUUGCUUGAGUCCUGGAUGGGAUAGUGGAAUUCCCAGUGUAGCGGUGAAAUGCGUAGAUAUUGGGAGGAAUGCCUGCGGCGAAGGCGGCUAUCUGGACAGUGACUGACGCUGAGGCGCGAAAGCUAGGGGAGCGAACGGGAUUAGAUACCCCGGUAGUCCUAGCUGUAAACGAUGGGCGCUUGGUGUUGGGGGUAUUGAGUCUCUCGGUGCGGAGUUAACACGUUAAGUGCUCUGUCUGGGGAGUACGGUCGCAGACUGAAACUCAAAGGAAUGG